CAAUACAGAUUAUCUACUCAAUAGGAAAAUUUCUCUCCUAUGUGAAGCCUAGGUUGAAAUGAGGAUUGCAUUUUGCCAUGAAGACACUGAGAUUUGUGGUCAACCUGAUCUUCUAUAGGAGCGAGUUCCACUUUCUUAGAUGCCACGAGAGAAACUUCCAAUUUCACUGGGAUCUGUUUGUUGUCAGGAAGGAAAGGACGUCUGCCUGCAAUGAGGAAGGUCAAAAUUUCAGUGGUGG